AGUGAACGCUGGCGGUAGACCUAACACAUGCAAGUCGAACGGCAGCACAGUAAGAGCUUGCUCUUACGGGUGGCGAGUGGCGGACGGGUGAGGAAUACAUCGGAAUCUACUUUUUCGUGGGGGAUAACGUAGGGAAACUUACGCUAAUACCGCAUACGACCUACGGGUGAAAGCAGGGGAUCUUCGGACCUUGCGCGAUUGAAUGAGCCGAUGUCGGAUUAGCUAGUUGACGGGGUAAAGGCCCACCAAGGCGACGAUCCGUAGCUGGUCUGAGAGGAUGAUCAGCCACACUGGAACUGAGACACGGUCCAGACUCCUACGGGAGGCAGCAGUGGGGAAUAUUGGACAAUGGGCGCAAGCCUGAUCCAGCCAUACCGCGUGGGUGAAGAAGGCCUUCGGGUUGUAAAGCCCUUUUGUUGGGAAAGAAAAGCAGCAGGUUAAUACCCCGCUGUUCUGACGGUACCCAAAGAAUAAGCACCGGCUAACUUCGUG
rnacentral:rRNA from 1 species